rnacentral:rRNA from 1 species
AGAGUUUGAUCAUGGCUCAGAUUGAACGCUGGCGGCAGGCCUAACACAUGCAAGUCGAACGGUAACAGGAAGCAGCUUGCUGUUUCGCUGACGAGUGGCGGACGGGUGAGUAAUGUCUGGGAAACUGCCUGAUGGAGGGGGAUAACUACUGGAAACGGUAGCUAAUACCGCAUAAUGUCGCAAGACCAAAGAGGGGGACCUUCGGGCCUCUUACCAUCGGAUGUGCCCAGAUGGGAUUAGCUUGUUGGUGGGGUAACGGCUCACCAAGGCGACGAUCCCUAGCUGGUCUGAGAGGAUGACCAGCCACACUGGAACUGAGACACGGUCCAGACUCCUACGGGAGGCAGCAGUGGGGAAUAUUGCACAAUGGGCGCAAGCCUGAUGCAGCCAUGUCGCGUGUAUGAAGAAGGCCUUCGGGUUGUAAAGUACUUUCAGCGGGGAGGAAGGGAGUAAAGUUAAUAUCUUUGCUCAUUGACGUUAUCCGCAGAAGAAGCACCGGCUAACUCCGUGCCAGCAGCCGCGGUAAUACGGAGGGUGCAAGCGUUAAUCGGAAUUACUGGGCGUAAAGCGCACGCAGGCGGUUUGUUAAGUCAGAUGUGAAAUCCCCGGGCUCAACCUGGGAACUGCAUCUGAUACUGGCAAGCUUGAGUCUCGUAGAGGGGGGUAGAAUUCCAGGUGUAGCGGUGAAAUGCGUAGAGAUCUGGAGGAAUACCGGUGGCGAAGGCGGCCCCCUGGACGAAGACUGACGCUCAGGUGCGAAAGCGUGGGGAGCAAACAGGAUUAGAUACCCUGGUAGUCCACGCCGUAAACGAUGUCGACUUGGAGGUUGUGCCCUUGAGGCGUGGCUUCCGGAGCUAACGCGUUAAGUCGACCGCCUGGGGAGUACGGCCGCAAGGUUAAAACUCAAAUGAAUUGACGGGGGCCCGCACAAGCGGUGGAGCAUGUGGUUUAAUUCGAUGCAACGCGAAGAACCUUACCUGGUCUUGACAUCCACGGAAGUUUUCAGAGAUGAGAAUGUGCCUUCGGGAACCGUGAGACAGGUGCUGCAUGGCUGUCGUCAGCUCGUGUUGUGAAAUGUUGGGUUAAGUCCCGCAACGAGCGCAACCCUUAUCCUUUGUUGCCAGCGGUCCGGCCGGGAACUCAAAGGAGACUGCCAGUGAUAAACUGGAGGAAGGUGGGGAUGACGUCAAGUCAUCAUGGCCCUUACGACCAGGGCUACACACGUGCUACAAUGGCGCAUACAAAGAGAAGCGACCUCGCGAGAGCAAGCGGACCUCAUAAAGUGCGUCGUAGUCCGGAUUGGAGUCUGCAACUCGACUCCAUGAAGUCGGAAUCGCUAGUAAUCGUGGAUCAGAAUGCCACGGUGAAUACGUUCCCGGGCCUUGUACACACCGCCCGUCACACCAUGGGAGUGGGUUGCAAAAGAAGUAGGUAGCUUAACCUUCGGGAGGGCGCUUACCACUUUGUGAUUCAUGACUGGGGUGAAGUCGUAACAAGGUAACCGUAGGGGAACCUGCGGUUG